AAAGUAUUAUGCCAAAAAGUAAAACCAACUUGUUGACCAUUUUUUUGAUGUUUUGUUUUUUUGUACUCUCUUCUCUUCUUCUUUUCUACUA
rnacentral:ribozyme from 12 species